AAGUUUCUAUAACAAAGAUGGAUGACAGAACGAAGGUGACAGACAUCCCAUGAACAAGAAGAAAAAAUAUAACCAAAUAGGUACACCAAAUAAAACAAAACAAAUUGGAAAACCCUCCAUUUCUAUAAUUUUAAUUAUUUUCCAUCAACCACCACACUAUUGAAACAACAAUCCCAUCCGUAUUGACGUGUUCGCAGCUUGGCCUUGACCACACGGACGCGGGUGAUCUGUGGCGAUGGUAAGAGCUUCCCAGCUGUGGGUGCUUCCUGGUCCAUUUAUCUUCGUCAAUAGCACGACAAGGCAGCCACAACAAAACAUCGGUUUUGCCAUGGUGUUAACGCGGCAGAGACGAUGGAAGGAUGCCUCAUAUGUACCAAUGUUUUCGAACGGUGGGGACUAACCCACUUACCCACAAGCCGGGCAAUACCUUUUUUGUGGUCUUUUCCCAUUUUUAGGUGAAAAAUUAUAUUACUUGGUUUACUCAAGGCUGACGAUUUAUCGAAGAUUUAUGGUUACACUACCUACUAAAAUUAAAAUUUGGUGAGUGAUCUAGCCACUAAUUAGGUUAAGCAUUACCUAUUUGUUCUUGUACUAGUUUAGUAACAGUAUUAUCAACGAUACUUCCAAUCUAAUUUUGUAAGGCGUUUUGUGUGCGAAAAAUAAAAACAUUGUUAAGAUAC